rnacentral:rRNA from 1 species
UACGAAGGGGGCUAGCGUUGCUCGGAAUCACUGGGCGUAAAGGGUGCGUAGGCGGGUCUUUAAGUCAGGGGGGAAAUCCUGGAGCUCAACUCCAGAACUGCCUUUGAUACUGGCUAUCUUGAGUUCGGGAGAGGUGAGUGGAAUGCCGAGUGUAGAGGUGAAAUUCGUAGAUAUUCGCAAGAACACCAGUGGCGAAGGCGGCUCACUGGCCCGAUACUGACGCUGAGGCACGAAAGCGUGGGGAGCAAACAGG